rnacentral:rRNA from 1 species
CCUACGGGUGGCAGCAGUGAGGAAUAUUGGUCAAUGGACGAGAGUCUGAACCAGCCAAGUAGCGUGAAGAAUGACUGCCCUAUGGGUUGUAAACUUCUUUUAUAUGGGAAUAAAACGUUCCACGUGUGGGAUUUUGUAUGUACCAUAUGAAUAAGGAUCGGCUAACUCCGUGCCAGCAGCCGCGGUAAUACGGAGGAUCCGAGCGUUAUCCGGAUUUAUUGGGUUUAAAGGGAGCGUAGGUGGAUUGUUAAGUCAGUUGUGAAAGUUUGCGGCUCAACCGUAAAAUUGCAGUUGAAACUGGCAGUCUUGAGUACAGUAGAGGUGGGCGGAAUUCGUGGUGUAGCGGUGAAAUGCUUAGAUAUCACGAAGAACUCCGAUUGCGAAGGCAGUUCACUGGACUGCAACUGACACUGAGGCUCGAAAGUGUGGGUAUCAAACAGGAUUAGAUACCCUUGUAGUC